UGUGAGACACACACCUGGAGCGCAUGCUGGCGGCGUAUAGCACCGUACAGGUAUAGCUUUGUUGUUGUAAAGGUCCAACAUUAUGGCGUGCACGAAGUUUUCUUUACUUUUGUUUCUCGUUUCGCUGUUUGCUUGCUGGAUUCUGUCAAGUAAGGUUGAUGCAGCUGAUAAAGAUGACGUGGAACUCGCUGAUGUGAACAAUGAGCCAUCUCUUGAUCGACAAAAGCGCCUGUCAAAGCCAAGACCAGAGCCAGAACGGUGGCCUAGACCAAAGCCAGAAUGGAGGCCUAGACCAAAGCCAGAAUGGAGGCCUAGACCAGAGCCAUGCAGGAGUGUAAGGGUGAAGAAAUGUGUGAAGUGGGGCACGAAACGCGUGGCAAAAAAAUCAGGAUGGUGGUGGCGGAGACGAACGAGGUACAGCUACGUGAGGGAGUGCCGCAAAUACAAGUGGACGUAUGAGAGGCAGUGUGGUUGAGACUAGAUGCAGAGUCACGUCCAAACACGCAGUUUACUUUUUCUUUCUACAAACUUCUGUACACAUGCUGGCCUCAAUAUGACAUAGCGCCUUAAUAAUUUUCUGUUUGCUAGAAAAUGGUUCCAUAUAAUUGCUUGUAAAUCACGAGAGAUCACAAUGAAUCCUAAUGUAUGAUUUGUAUGUAAGUAUGAUCAAAAGGAUAUGAAUUAGACGUGCAUUUCUGAAAUUUUUGGCUUACAGUAUUUUAGUAUAUUUUAGUAUUACUUUGCGCGCUUCUCAAAUUGUCUAUAUCGUAAUGUUAAAAUAAUCAAAGAAGACGUGUUUUUUAUCGCAAUAAUGUUUCUUUAGAGUCUGAGUUCAGCUGAAUAUACACAGAAAAGUAA